rnacentral:rRNA from 1 species
UACGAAGGGGGCUAGCGUUGCUCGGAAUUACUGGGCGUAAAGCGCACGUAGGCGGCUUUCUAAGUCGGGGGUGAAAUCCUGGAGCUCAACUCCAGAACUGCCUUCGAUACUGGAGAGCUCGAGUCCGGGAGAGGUGAGUGGAACUGCGAGUGUAGAGGUGAAAUUCGUAGAUAUUCGCAAGAACACCAGUGGCGAAGGCGGCUCACUGGCCCGGUACUGACGCUGAGGUGCGAAAAGCGUGGGGAGCAAACAGG